rnacentral:lncRNA from 1 species
AAAUUUUUUUCACUUGGUAUGAUGAAAAUGUUGAUUUGGGAAUCAAAAUUAUGCCUGACUUGAGGUACUUGGCAAUUACAUAUUUUGACUCAUCAAUAGGAAUGCUCCAAAACCUAGAAUUUCUCCGAAUAAUAAAUAUAUGUCAUCAAGAUAUACCAACGUACCUUCUCAAUAUGCCUAAGUUGAGACAUCUAUGUGUAGGAGACCGAGUUAAAAAGUCAAGAUUCAAUAAGGAUUGUGAUAGCUUCCAAAUAAACAACUUACAAACGCUUUCCUUUAUUUUUUAUUUCAAAUUCAAAAGAUGAAGAAAUCUUGAUAUGUUCACCAAAUCUUCAUAUGCUUAAAUGCAAAUUUUUAGGCAAGCGCUAUCUUGAUCUCAACUUUCUUUCUCAGCUUCGAUCACUCAAAAUGGUUUAUGAAAGUAGAUUCAGGGGUGAUUACAAAGUGUUUAACUUUGCCUAGGAAUAUCAAAAAGCUUACCCUUUCUAAUGUUGGAUUGCCAUGGGAAAAAAUAUCAUUAAUUGGGUUAUUACCUAUAUUGGAGGUUCUAAAGUUAUAAGAUGGAGCCUUUGAAGGAAAAAUCUGGGACACCAAGGAUGACGAGUUCCACAAACUCAAAUUUCUUAAAUUAGUUUCCCUAGAUAUUGAACAGUGGAAUUCCUCAAGCAAUCACUUCCCCGUACUUAAAUGAUUAGUGUUGCAAUUUUGCCAAAAGUUGGAGAUGAUUCCUUUAGAAUUUAACAAUAUUCCAACACUACAAAAGAUUGAGGUACGUUAUUGUUCUGAAAGUGUUGAAAGUUCAGCUUUGGAAAUUUGUGAAGAACAACAGGAUUAUGGUAACGAAGAGUUUGAAGUGAUCAUACAAAGUCUUCGUAUAAAAGAGAGCAUCUACUGCAUUGGUGUAAACGGUGUAAGUCAAACUUCAUCUCAUACUUUUUUUUAUGACGACUUAAAAAUGAUUUUUUACUAUCUAUUUGAUUACUUUUUUAAAUUUGUUGCAGGAGAAUCUUUAAUGUCUUGCACCCACAUGGAGAGAAAAGAUAUAUUUUCAGCUCCAUUUCAAUUGUUAUUUCUUUUUCAUAGUCUUCUCUUUGUAAUGAAUGUGAAGUUACAAUUUCUUAUUCGCAAGCAAAAUCAAAUAAUGGCCCAAUUGAAAAAUGUAUUAUAGUAUGGUUAAUUUGACAAUUGGUUAGUUCUAGAUCUAGGCCUCGUAAACUUUUGCCAUGUAAUUUUCUUUUAUUUAUUUUAUUUUUAUUUAUAUUUCUAAUACUAUUUUUUUC